AUAAGUAGGGAGCAUGGCAAUGUGCACAGAAAUUGAAUUGGGUCUCUAGGCCUGUCUUCUCCAAUGCCAUUUGGAUUUGAUUUUGAGGCAUGGUUCCGUAGCAAAACA